rnacentral:tRNA from 1 species
AAUAAUUUAGCAAAUAUAUGCAUUUGACUUAGGUUCAAAAGAAAAUCAAUAUGAUUAAUUAUUA